UUCGAAGCAACGCGAAGAACCUUACCAGGUCUUGACAUCCAGUGCAAACCUAAGAGAUUAGGUGUUCCCUUCGGGGACGCUGAGACAGGUGGUGCAUGGCUGUCGUCAGCUCGUGUCGUGAGAUGUUGGGUUAAGUCCCGCAACGAGCGCAACCCUUGUCAUUAGUUGCCAUCAUUAAGUUGGGCACUCUAAUGAGACUGCCGGUGACAAACCGGAGGAAGGUGGGGAUGACGUCAAGUCAUCAUGCCCCUUAUGACCUGGGCUACACACGUGCUACAAUGGACGGUACAACGAGAAGCGAACCUGCGAAGGCAAGCGGAUCUCUUAAAGCCGUUCUCAGUUCGGACUGUAGGCUGCAACUCGCCUACACGAAGCUGGAAUCGCUAGUAAUCGCGGAUCAGCACGCCGCGGUGAAUACGUUCCCGGGCCUUGUACACACCGCCCGUCACACCAUGAGAGUCUGUAACACCCAAAGCCGGUGGGAUAACCUUUAUAGGAGUCAGCCGUCUAAGGUAGGACAGAUGAUUAGGGUGAAGUCGUAACAAGGUAGCCGU
rnacentral:rRNA from 1 species